rnacentral:rRNA from 1 species
CUGAAUAUGGGGGGACCAUCCUCCAAGGCUAAAUACUCCUGACUGACCGAUAGUGAACCAGUACCGUGAGGGAAAGGCGAAAAGAACCCCGGCGAGGGGAGUGAAAAAGAACCUGAAACCGUGUACGUACAAGCAGUGGGAGCCCCACCACUAAGCCAGUGGUGAACUCCACAUCCGCAUCCUUUGCUGAGGAUACGGUUAACGGAGCGAAAGCGACGUUCAACCGCAAAACAAGCAGAGGGGGCUUAGUGGUGGGGUGACUGCGUACCUUUUGUAUAAUGGGUCAGCGACUUAUAUUCUGUAGCAAGGUUAACCGAAUAGGGGAGCCGGAGGGAAACCGAGUCUUAAUUGGGCGUUAAGUUGCAGGGUAUAGACCCGAAACCCGGUGAUCUAGCCAUGGGCAGGUUGAAGGUUGGGUAACACUAACUGGAGGACCGAACCGACUAAUGUUGAAAAAUUAGCGGAUGACCUGUGGCUGGGGGUGAAAGGCCAAUCAAACCGGGAGAUAGCUGGUUCUCCCCGAAAGCUAUUUAGGUAGCGCCUCGUGAAUUCAUCUCCGGGGGUAGAGCACUGUUUCGGCUAGGGGGCCAUCCCGGCUUACCAACCCGAUGCAAACUGCGAAUACCGGAGAAUGUUAUCACGGGAGACACACGGCGGGUGCUAACGUCCGUCGUGAAGAGGGAAACAACCCAGACCGCCAGCUAAGGUCCCAAAGUCAUGGUUAAGUGGGAAACGAUGUGGGAAGGCCCAGACAGCCAGGAUGUUGGCUUAGAAGCAGCCAUCAUUUAAAGAAAGCGUAAUAGCUCACUGGUCGAGUCGGCCUGCGCGGAAGAUGUAACGGGGCUAAACCAU